rnacentral:rRNA from 1 species
AUUGAACGCUGGCGGCAUGCUUUACACAUGCAAGUCGAACGGCAGCGCGGGGCAACCUGGCGGCGAGUGGCGAACGGGUGAGUAAUAUAUCGGAACGUACCCAGAAGUGGGGGAUAACGUAGCGAAAGUUACGCUAAUACCGCAUACGAUCUACGGAUGAAAGUGGGGGACCUUCGGGCCUCAUGCUUGUGGAGCGGCCGAUAUCUGAUUAGCUAGUUGGUGGGGUAAAGGCCUACCAAGGCGACGAUCAGUAGCUGGUCUGAGAGGACGACCAGCCACACUGGGACUGAGACACGGCCCAGACUCCUACGGGAGGCAGCAGUGGGGAAUUUUGGACAAUGGGCGCAAGCCUGAUCCAGCCAUUCCGCGUGCAGGAUGAAGGCCUUCGGGUUGUAAACUGCUUUUGUACGGAACGAAACGGUUCUCUCUAAUACAGGGGGCUAAUGACGGUACCGUAAGAAUAAGCACCGGCUAACUACGUGCCAGCCGCCGCAGUAACAC